rnacentral:tRNA from 1 species
GGCCCGUUGGUGAAGUGGCUUAACACAUAGCCCUCUCAAGGCUACAUUCAAGGGUUCGAACCCCUUACGGGUCACCA